UCAGUGGCUGGGAGUCAAGAGAUCUUGGCUCUAGCCUCAGUUCCAUCUUUAAUAUGCUGUGUUAUAUUGGGCAAGUCCCUUUACCCCUCUGGACCUCAAUUUAUUCCUCUGUUAAGAGGAGGAAGACUGUCUUCUUUGCCAACUUCAUAGGGAUCUUAUAAGGACAGAGUAAACGAAUGGUUAUGAAUGUGCUUUGAAAAGAUUUGAAGGACUGGAAUAGACUUGCAAUAUAUUGCUCUUAUUUCACGAGGAAAACUCUUUUGGGGAAAUUGAGGCUUAAGAGGGGUGGUCCAGUGGAAAAAAGCAAUGGACUUGGAGUCAAUUCCAGCUCUAUGGACUACUUAUCUGUGUGAUCUUGGGGAAAUUAUCUGACCUCUCGGGGUCUCAUCAUCUGUUUGUAAGAUGAAAGGGUUGGCCUAAAUGACCUUGAAAAAUCCCUUCUAGUUUAAAACUAAUAAUCCUUUCUUUUUUUCAUUUUUAAAUCUUCACCUUCUAUCUUAGAAUCACUAUUAUGUAUUGGUUCUAAGGCAGAAGAACAACAAGGGCUAGGUAAUGGGGUUAAGUGACUCGUAGGGUCACAUUCCUAGGAAGUAUCUGAGGACAAAUUUGAACCUAGAAUCUCUCAUCUCUAGGCUUUGCUCUCAAUCCACCAAGCCCCCUAGUUGUCCCUUGAUGAUUCCUUUUAACUUUUGGGGUAAUGGUAGAGAUUUGGGGAUCUUAAAUUCACUGUAUGCCCACAGGAGAGAGUUUUUCAGGAAGUAGAUGAUUUAGGAUCCAGGGUUUUUGAUAUUUAAAUAUCUUCCUACAUUAUAAUGCUUAGCAUCUUCUAAAGUCAAGCAACCCUUUAGUAUGUCCUUGGUAUUUCUUUGUAUCUUGGCUGCUUUGUUUCAGUUGCAGUGGGUCUUAGGAAGUCUACUGAUGGAGAAGAGGGGGAGAGAGGGGAGAGGGGAAGAUAGAGAGAGACAGAAAGUGAGAGAGAUGAGAGAGAGAGGAGGGAGAGAGAAAAGGAGGGAUAAAGGGAGAAAAGUGGGGAGAGAGAGAGAGAGGAGAGAGAGAGAGAGAGAGAGAGAGAGAGAGAGAGAGAGAGAGAGAGAGAGAGAGAGAGAGAGAGAGAGAGAGAGAGAGAGAGAGAGAGAAGAGCGCUGGACUUCAGCCUGGGAAGCUUUUCUCGGCAGCCUCCUCAGCAUUUCUCGAGCAGCUGCUCUGAAAUCAUGGGAAGAAAGAGAGGAAGAAAGAGAGACGGAAAGAAAGAGAGUGCCUCUGAGCCCUGAAAUCUGAGCCCCUCUCCCCACUCCCCACCCCCAGGUUAAGUGAGAGCAGAUUUCAGGAGAGAGUCAAACUUUCUCAGGCUAAAGUUUCCUCUUAAGUACAAGGAGGGCUGGGCCUUCUAUGGGCUCCUGAGGGCUGGCAUUUGGACUCUCUCUGGAGACAUCCCUGGGCAAGCUGUCUCUCUUAGGCUCCCCAGGCUAAAGAAGGCCCCAGGAUGUCUCAGAGGAGCCCAAAGCUUAGACCAGAUAGAAUCUCAUUUCCCCCUCAGCCAGGCGCCUGGCCACUCACUAACAGAGCUCGGGGGCUGAGAACCUUCCUCCAUUGAACUGAGAGACAGAGACAUGAUUCAGGAAGAUGUCAUUCUAGUUGAGAUGGACCACUGGCUAUUAGGUUGGGCCAAUUAUAGCUCCCACAAAAAUAUCCUUUAAGGCAUUUCCCUCCUUGCAUUUCCCUCCAAAGCACUCUCCUCCAGGGAUCCUGAUUUUUUCCUCUGUCCCUGUCUAUUCCAUUCUAAAUUAUAAGAUGUUAUUGGUGGGAGGGGCACGAGAGGGCAUCAAACCCAAUCCCCUUAAUUUACAGGAAACCAAAGCUUAGAGACAAAAUGCCCAAGGUCACAGCCAGCGAAUGGAGGAAGAGCCCAGAUAAGGGGAAGGGAAUAAGUAUUUAUAUCUCACCUUCUAUGUGCCAGACACUGUGCUGAAUGCUUUACAAAUAUUAUCUCAUCUGAUUCUCACAGCAACCCCGGGAGGUAGGGGAUAUUAUUAUUCCCAUUUUAAACAGAGGUUAAAGGACUAGCCCAGGGUCACAGAGCUAGGAAGUAUCUGAGGCCAGAUUUAAAUUCAGGGUUUCCUGACUCCAGGCCCAGUGCUCUAUCCACAGAUCCAGCUGGAAUUGGAACCCCAGUCUCCCGGUUCUAAUGCUCUUUCCCCUUGAUUAUGUUUCCAGCAGCUUGCGAGCAGGUCCAUAGAUAAACUGUGUCAUUGUCCUCAGCAGGACUGGCUAGAUCUGCAGGUAGAGCAGACCAGUGUGGUUUAAUGGGGUGCAGCAAAAGCAUCCACUUAGGGAAACUGGAAAGGUGGAGUGGGGCAAGUUCUUUCAGGGUCAAACUGAAAGAAUUUCCCAUUUGCUCCUGGAAGUGAUAGGGACCUCUUGGAGCUUCUUGAAUAGGAGAAGGUGACACGGUCAGUUUGUUCUCUUAAGAAGAUCGCUUUGAGAGCUGUGGAGAAGAUGGACAGGAGUGGGGAGAGACUUGUGGCAGGUAGACCAAGCAGCGGACUAUUUCGAGACCCGGGCUUGAGGUGAUGAGGGCUUGUACCAGGGGGGUGGAAGGUUCAGAGGAGAGCAGGACAAGGAUUUGAGAGCUAUUACAAAGGUAAAAUUGGCAGAUUUGGCAGGUAAGAGAUUGGAUGUGGUUGUAGUGGGGGGAGUAAGACAGAGCCAGCAAUCAAGGAUGGUACCUAGGUCAAGCUUGGGUGACUGGAAGGACUGUGGUACCCUAACUAUUCGAGAGAAGUUAGGAAGAGGGGACAGGUAUUGAGAAUAAAAGGAAAGGGGCAGAAAGAAGAGAUGAGCCCUUGUCCCCUGUGCACUAUGAUUUAAUUCACUCAGUGAAUAGGUUUUUAGACACAUGCCAGGCAUGCUAGAGAACCUUCCCUCUUAGAGACAUCCCAGAAGCCCAGGGCUGGGUCCCAGAGGUACACUCUCAUUUCAGAAGGGACCCUUAAGGGAGGGGGUUGGAGGAAUAAAAUGGUAUUAGAGAGAGACAUUACAGAUGGUAUCUCCCCUUCUUUCCCCUCCCCCUCCUACUUUUGGGUUUUUGUCUUGUUGCUAUGACAACUAGAGUCCCUGUCAUCCCACUGGUUACCAUGGUGACUUCACCUGACUUUCAGUCCACAGUUGAGGAAGGUCCUUACUCCUUGCUACCAAAAUGAGACUGAUGGGAGAAGGGAACCAAGGAAAGAGAGGUUAAAUCCCCUGGAAUGGCACUCAGAUCCUUUGAGGUAUGAUAUGAAAGAUCUUCCUGAGCUGAUCAGGGGACCUGAGAACUCAAAUUGCCUUCCUCCAUUUCUCAUUCUUGCCUUUGAGGUUAUGCUCCAGCUCUGUGGUGGUGAACCUAUGUCAUGAGUGGCAGAGAGGGCACUCAGAGCACUCUCUGUGGGCACACGCACCAUCACUCCAGCACAGAACUCUCCAGAGUUUGUUACUAGAAAGCCAGAGAGAGAGAGACAUGGUGCCAAGCUGCUCCCCUCCCCCUCUCCAUGUGUGCCUGAGGACAUUUCUCAUAUCACCCCCCUCUGAAAGGUUCACCAUCACUGCUCCAGACACGCCCCUGGCCUGGACCACCCUUCCAUCAGUCUGGGAGGCCCCCUAAGGCAGAUCCCCUCUCCUUUGGUCCUAAAUAUGGGCCUUUGUACUCUGGGUGCUCCAAACUAAGGGGAAGGAACCUGGGGGCUGGGAGCAGAAGCAAACUAGACCACUCCUGUAUCUUUCCCUUUCCUCACCAUAUUUAUGGGCAGUCCCAAAAGUCUUGGUGCAGUUUUAAGCUACAUAACCAGUUAACACUGUAUUCAUUUGUGCUUCCUACAUCUUGUCUUACGUCAUGUACAAGCUUUCCUUUUGUCUGAUUGGCAGCUGCUAGAAGGUGAUCUUCUUGCUCAAAAGUCCCAUGAGGAGAUGCCCAGAAGUCUCCUGACAUCUUCCCUGCCUCUGGACAGGUCUCUUGGCCUUGUGAAAAAUGUCAGCUAGUCUUAUGAGGUGGCCCUGGAAUAGGGGAAUGCCAGAGGUCCAGAAGAAUCUGGGGCUGGAGAGGUAGAGGUGGGUCAUGGUGAAGGAUGCACUCUGAAAGCCUUAUGGUGCUCUGCAAAGGUUGGAAACACCCUGAAGUCAAGAACUAUAAUCAUACCUAACAAGACUUUAGGCUUGAUGGAUCCCCGCCAUAAUCCCACCUUGAGAUUUCUUUUGCAGAAGCUUCUAGCUGUUGGUUCACAUUAAUUUUCACCAUCUCUAAGGUUUUUGGAGUGACAGAGGGAAAGAGACCAACGAGGUGAACACCUAAUUGACCAUCCCCUCUAACACUGUCCUCAUUGAAAACCAGAUCUCUUUGCUCCUCAGGCUAAUAAAAAGCCCUAGGGUAAAAAGCCCAGAUGUUUUCCACAUGUGCUUGCCACAUGUUGUCAUGGUAACUGUCCCGUACACACCAGCUGGGGUGUCGGCCGCACACCAGGCCAGUGAUGGGCUUUACACAGCAUACCACACAGCUCGGACCAGGACCAGCCCAGCUCAGUUGUCAUGGCAACCAGCAGGCCUAAGAGAGGUGGGAGCUGGGGUUGGCAAUGAGGAGACUGGCGUAAAUAUUCAUUUUGAGGGUUCUCUCUCUGUGUAUGUGUAUUGUGCGUGGUGUUAUGUAGAUCUGGGUAACUGUGUGGAGGGGGAAUUCUAAGAUUGUGGGGAAGGAUAUUGGGCCAAAGUCCAAGACCUGCCUUUCUAUGGAAGCCACAGGAAGAAGCUCCCAGGCUAUAUGUGUCAUUCUUACUCCUGACAGGUUUUCCAGUUUGAAUGAUUCCACUGGAACCCAGAUUUUUGUACUUUUGGCUGCUUGUUAAAUCACAGCGUGGGGCGGAUUCUUUAGCUAUCUUAUCUAUUCUCCUGGAUCAGGGAGAAAUGGACCUAGUUGAUUAAAUUCCAGUAUCCCCAAUACAUAUAAAGCAAACCAGUAAGGCAAGCUGUGGUCCCCCCUACCCCCUUAUGUGUAUUGGCUAUUGUUUUUCAGAUGUGUCCUACUCUUUGUGACCCCUUUUGGGGUUUUCUUGGGACAGACACUGGAAUGGUUUGCCAUCUGCUUCUCCAGAUCAUUUUCCUGAUGAGGAAACGGAGGCAAACAGGGUUGAGGGACUUGCUCAGGAUCACCCAGCUAGUAAGUGUCUGAGGCUGGUUUUGAACUCAGAUUACCCUGACUCCAAGCCUAGUGCUCUAUUCACUGCACCAUUCAGCUUCCUCCAGCCAUGGAGAUAAGGAGACAAGAGAUAAAAACAGCAGCAUCCAGGCUUUGGAUGCUCAGACCAGUAAUAUAGGAAUGACACUGCUCUCUGAAGAAAGGCAGGGUACAGAGGUGAAAUGAGUGCUGGAUUUGGAAUCAAAAGAUCUGAAUGAAAAUCCUUGUUCUGUUAUUCACUAGCUGUGAGACUUUAGACAAUUCAUGUCACCUUUGUGAUAUAAAGAUGAGAGUUUGAAUUAGUUUUUCUAGAAGGUCUUUUCUGGCUUGAAAUCAUGAUUUUUAUUCUCCUUUCCUAUUCUGGAAUGAGACAAGAGGUGCAAAUAAACUAUGAGCCAAAUGCAAAAACCUGCCCUUCCUUGCCACUCAGGAGAAAAAUUCCCAUUUCCUGUCAAUAUUCAUUUUCUCUGCUGGCCCCUUCUGCAGCUUAUUAGCAAUUUUUUGCUAGGUUUUUAAGUGUUAAGCACUAAAGUGAACAGAGGAAUGUCAGAGAUUCACAUUUUAAUGAAUUUUAAUAGGAUAACCAUUGACAAUUACUUGGCAAAUUAAAAAAAAGGCUCUGCAAACGCUAAAGAUAUUAAUUGAAGUGACGGGUGGGAGUGUUGAUGCUGUGAUGAGAACUCUGGUUUUGUUGUUGCCUGACUUCAGUAUAAGAGGCUUAUCACCUGGUAAAUCUCUAUGGAAACCCAGUCUUCUCAGAUUGGGAGGGAUACUAUAAGGUCAUCUGGUCCAAGCCCCUGCCUCCAGGCAUUCUAAUGUCUUACACAUGUCAGAAGAGGUGUAUGUUCUUUGUAAUGGAUGAUAUCUCUCUAUUACCACUCCGUCACUCAUUUACUUUUUUUUUUUAAACCCUUACCCUCUGUUUUAGUAUCAGUUCCAAGGCAGAAAAUCUGUAAGGGCUAGGCAGUUGAUCUGGGUCAAGUGACUUGCUCAGGAUCACACAUAGCUAGGAAGCAUCUGAGAUCAGAUUUUAACCCAGGACCUCCUGUCUCCAAGGUCAGGAUCACUUUCCACUGAACCCCCUAGCUGCCACAACUCUUUUGCUACUGACAAGAGAUGCCAGUCAGGAAGUUUCUCCUUCUACCAGACCUCAGUCCUUCAUUCUGCCCUCUUCUUCAUUCUGGAAUGAAGAUGGAAAGAGCAGCUGGCCGUUCCUUUUAUAACACUUGAGAGGUGUGAAGAUUAAGCCCACCCUGACUUCUCCCUCUCCCCAUCCCACCUGGCCAUCUGGAAUGAAUUGCCCAUUCUCACUGACUUUUCUUGUGUCCCAAUUCUUUAACUCUCUGCAGUCAAUGAGGAAAACUCUGCAGCUCCAGAGCCAGGAAGGUGCUGGGGGUGGGGAUGGAGGGGCCAUAGCCAAGGAUAAGUGCUGCCACUUAAAGGAACUGGUUGUCUAUUCAGAUUGGGUGUAAUUCUCAGCACUUAAUUUCCACGGCUAUUGUGUCUGUAUCACCUCGAUCUUUCAAACUGCCUCUCCCUGGGAUCUUGCUAUUUAAGUCCUGCUGGGCAGCCCUAUUAUAAGGGAAGUUUCUCAGUGGGAGAUUCUAAUCCUCUUAUUACAGGGUGUGUGUGACCCUCUCCUCCAGUCAGUCCAGAUUUACCCUGAAGAGAUGGAUGUGGUGAAUACCAGCAGUCCUUGGGAGGCAGAUUUGGAAAUGCAGUGACAUUGUAUCAAGAACUCUUUGGGUCAUCAGUGGUAACUUUUACAUCAACCACUACAGCCAUUUGGGAUAACAUUAUAAGCUUGUCAACUUCUGAAAGAACUCCUUGUGACCAAUGAGGAUACUCCAUCUCCCAUCAUCAUCACUCCCAGCCUUUUCCCUGGCUGUCCUUCAUACUUGGAAUACUCUCCCUCCUCCCCUCCAGUUUCUGGUUUCCUUGGCGUCUUUCCAGAUGAAGUGAUAAAUCUAUCUUGUGCAAGAAGUCUUUCCUGAUUCCCUCCAUCCUCUUCCCUCUUCCUUUUAACAUUAUAUCCAAUUUACUCUGUCUCUAUCUUGUAUUUAUAUAGUGGUUUGCAUGUGGUCUCCCCAUUAGAAGGUGAGUCAUUGAACAGGCAUUGUAUUUUUGCUUUUCUUUUAAUCCAGAGUGCUUAGCACUGUGCUUGGCACAUAGUAAGAGCUUAAUAAAUGCUUGUUGACCAUUGACUGACUGAGUGACUCCUCAGGGUGCCUGUUCCAAGUUUCUUUGCUCUUAACCUAGGCAAUUUAUUCCCAGACCAUAAUUAGCAUAGAAGAAAAAUUAAAAGCACUCCAUAUAUUUUAAUGCCUCUGAAGAGCGAGCGAGGCCCAGAUAAGGAAGUAAUUAUGAUUGAACAACCCCUGAUUAGAUGACUAGGUUAAGUGAUGUCAGAUAACUCAGGUGACACUUCUGGCAGCAGGAUUUCCAGGGACUGAUGCUAAGGAAUGGGCGAGAGGUGGAAGUUUAGCAACCAGGCUGGAGUAUUCACUUCUCAUUCUGAAUGAGCAGGGUAACCCAGGGAACAUGGACAAAUGCUUCACAGUUAUUUGGGUGGGUGUAGUCUAAUUUAUUUAUUUAGAAAACCCCUUCCUCCCAUCUUAGAAUGAAUAUUGUGUGUUGGUUCCCAGUCAGAAGAGUGGUAAGGACCAAGCAAUGGGGUUUAAGUGAUUUGCCUGGGGACACACAGCUAGAAAGUGUCUGGGGCUAGAUUUGAACCCAGGACCUCUUAUCUCUAGAUCUCUAGGUCUGGUUCUCAAUCCACUGAGCCACCUAGCUGCCCCCUAGUAUGGUAUAAUUCAGAAAAAAGAUUCUUCACAAAUCAUUCCUAUAUCAAGUCUUCAACUUCUUUUCCAAGGAAUUGAAUGUGGUGGUACCUUUGAGAGAGCAGAGUGAGGGGUCAAAGAUUUCCCAGAAUGGAUCCAUGACAUUUGUUUUGAGAUGGAGAGUUGAGGUUCCAAGAUAUUGGAAGAGUCAUCUUAGGCCAGGCAACUCCACCAUAUACAUGGUAUAUGAUGCUGAGCUCUUACUGGGAUAGGACAGAAAGAAGAGCCCAGUCUGGCAAGGGUAGUCCAUGAGCUUUUGGGAAUGAUUUGCUCUUUUCACCAACCAUGGGCAGACAAGGGUUGCUUGGGGUUGAAGUGGAAAGUUGUCAGAAGAUGGAUACAGGGGAAAGAGAUGACAUUAGAGGACUUGGGUUCAAAUUCUAGAGGACUUCAGAGGUAAAUCCUUUAACUCCUUUAGGUCUGAGUUCCUCAUCUAAAAGGUGAAAGGUAGGACUGGAUUAUCUUUAAUAGCCUUUCCAGUGCUAUUAUGGUUGUGGGUGAGUGUUAUAAAAUAAAAGCCUUGAUCUUUGGAAAGGGAGGGGAAAGCACAACACUGCCUUUGUUGUCUGAAAGAUGAUGGAAAUCAGGUGUAGUGGCACACACCCAUGAUUACAGGGACGGGGGAGACUGAGGUAGGUACAUCUCUUGGGUCUGGGAAUCCUGAGCUUCAGUGGGCUGUGCUAUUGGGAUAUCUUUGAUCAGUUUGACUUCAAUAUAGUGAACCUCCAGAAUAUGGGGUAGAGUGGGUGAUGGACACCUGGUUUUCUUUGUUUGUUUGUUUUGGACACCUGGUUUUCUAAGGAUGGGCACACUGACCCAGCUUAGAAUUAGAACACUUGUGACAGCAGCAGGACCAUGAAUGGCCCCUGUACACCCAGCCUUGGGGAAAUAAGGAGACUUAGUUUUAAAAAAAGAAAAUAGAGGAGAGGUACCACAGAACUAGAAAAGAGAAAAUGUUCUGGUUGUCAGAAAGGGUGAGGACAAAAAGUCUUCAAAUUAUAGGCUCCUGUAUUUGACUUAGAUUCCUGACAAAAUUCUAGAAUCUAUUAUUAAAUGGGUGAUUAAUGAAUAUCUAGAAAAGGAAAUGGUGUUUAGAAAGAACCUGUAUGGCGUCAUUAGGAACAGGUCGUGCCAGACUAAUCUUAUUUUCUUUUUUGACAAGAUUACUUUAGAUUGAGAGAUAAAGGGAAAGCUGGAGAAACAGUUUCCCCUGCAUUUUAGCACAACAUUUAAUAAAGUCAUUCUAUUCUUAUGGAACAAUUGGAGAUGUGGGCAUGAUAAUAUUACAAUUUGGUGGAUUUGGAAUUGGUUGAAUGGCUAGAUCCAAAGAGUAAUGGUUAAUGGUGACUUAGGAGGUCUCCAGAAGAGUGUCCCUGGGAAUCUGUGCUUGGCUUUUUUGUCACUGACUUGGACAAAGGCAUAGCUUAAAAAAAAAAUCCAACCUUUCAACUACAAUAAAGAGGAAGUAUGGCUAGAGAGCCUGAAAAAAGAUAAAAAGAUCUGGCUAGGGAUAGGCCUGGUGAUGGGAAGGAGUUAAUGCAAUACAAAUUCAAUAUGGGUUAACAACUUAAGCUGCAUUAAUAGAGGCAUUAUAAUUUCCAGGUCAUGGGAGGUAAUAGUACUAUUGGACUCUGCCUUUGUCAGACAACAUCUAGUUGCAAACCUCUUUUCUUUCGCCUUUUGCAAUAUUGCAUUUCAAUAUUUCCUCUAUUUUGUGUAGAUGCAGCACAGCCUUAAUGUGAUCCUAACCAUAGUUCCGUUGAAUUUAGAUCUCAGAAAUUCUGUAUUUUGGCUCUGUUACUUCUGGGUGUUUUCUAUUUGGAGUUUCUUUAAGGAGGUGACUGGUGGAUUCUUUUUUUUUUUUAAAUUUUCAUUUUUUCCUCUGCUUCUAAUUAGUCUGGGCAAUUUUCUUUUAUGACUUAUUGACAUGGUUUUUUAGUUUGGUCAUGGUUUUCAGCAUGUCUGGUGAGUUUUUAAUCAUUUCUCCUCAGUCUAUUCCAACUUGUUUUUAAUCAUAGAUAUUUUAUGUGGCCUUCAAAUUUUUCAGCUUUAACUUUGUUUUAAUAUUUCUUAUUGUUUCAAAGAAAAAUUGUUAUGCUUUUUCCUUUCUAGUUUUCAGAAAGUCCACUUCUUGGAUAAGGUUUUCUAUGUUUUGUUCUAAGUUAUUUAGAAAGUAUUAGAAGUUAUUUUUAAAGUCCACUUCUUGGAUAAGGUUUUCUAUGUUUUGUUCUAAGUUAUUUAGAAAGUAUUAGAAGUUAUUUUUAAAGUCCACUUCUUGGAUAAGGUUUUCUAUGUUUUGUUCUAAGUUAUUUAGAAAGUAUUAGAAGUUAUUUUUUUCUGUUCUUUGUAAGAGCUUUCAUUUGAUUUCUAAAUGCCUUUUUAAAAAAAUUAAUAAAAUUUAUUUA